AACGAACGCUGGCGGCAUGCCUAACACACGCAAGUCGAACGAGACCUUCGGGUCUAGUGGCGCACGGGUGCGUAACGCGUGGGAACCUGCCCUUAGGUUCGGAAUAACUCCCCGAAAGGGGUGCUAAUACCGGAUAAUGUCUUCGGACCAAAGAUUUAUCGCCUUUGGAUGGGCCCGCGUUGGAUUAGCUAGUUGGUAGGGUAAAAGCCUACCAAGGCGACGAUCCAUAGCUGGUCUGAGAGGAUGAUCAGCCACACUGGGACUGAGACACGGCCCAGACUCCUACGGGAGGCAGCAGUGGGGAAUAUUGGACAAUGGGCGAAAGCCUGAUCCAGCAAUGCCGCGUGAGUGAUGAAGGCCUUAGGGUUGUAAAGCUCUUUUACCCGGGAUGAUAAUGACAGUACCGGGAGAAUAAGCUCCGGCUAACUCCA
rnacentral:rRNA from 1 species